rnacentral:lncRNA from 1 species
UCUCUGCUGUAAGUUCAGCUGCACGAAAACUGCAAGUGUGGGGGGGUCGCCCGACCCCCCAACUUCAUCUCUGAACUGCCGUGAGCAUGGAACAACACUGCAUACACCUCGGCACGUCAUGGCACCAAAAACAGGCGCGAUGAGGGGGUCGCCCGACCCCCUUUCUAUGGCAAAAGGAAACGACACAAGUGCAGAAAGACUUCCCGAGGGACGUAGAAUCGAGUGGCAGGGCUAGGAACCUCCAGGUGGGGUCGGCCGACCCUUCCAUGGAGCCCUGGGCCCACCAGGCAGCUUCUAUACGACGAAAGACAUCUUUCCUGCCCGGUUUGCUAAUUCUUCCCCCUCUUACAAUUGUUCAUCCUCAUGGGUAAAAAUCUAUAGGAACCAUAUUGACUAAGUUGUUGAUGAAAGUGAUAUAACUCUUGGCUAAGAAUUCAUAACAUUUCUAUUCAAGGUACUUAGAGAUUUGUUUCAAAAAUAUCACAAAACCAUAGUAUCAUUUACUCCUCAUUAGCAAGAAAUUCCCACUAAAAGCCAUACACUUAGAUAUUCAAGUAACCAUUUUAUGAAAUGCAACCUGCUUUUGUAAUGAGUUUUGUCAAAACCUUGUUGACCCUAGUGAGAGUUGUAUCAUAGUCACAAGAUCAAGAUCACGUACACACCACAUAUAUAUAUGCUGCUUCUACACUGGAAGUACGCAACCACAUGUAUUGUGCAUCCACUAAAUAGGUUGCUCCAUACUCUAAGUGUUAGAACACCUCUCUAAAUAUUGUUUAGAAAAUGAGACAUAAAAGGGCUUGGCAAAAUAAAAGAAAAAGAAAAGAUGGACAUGUGCAAGUCCAUGAAAAAAAAAAAUUGAGCACAUAAAGCUCGAAGAAAAAGAAAAUCUAGCCAUGUCUCAAUAUACAAGUAGAGAGAGUGUAGUAAAUAAAGGAGCAACCUAGUCCACCAUAUAACACACUUGCACAUCUUGAUCUAUGACUAUGACACUCCUCUCUUUGGAUCCUUGUUUUUGACUUAACAAUAUUUGCAAAGUAGAGUAUGCUACCUUGUUUAUCCCUACCAAGCCCCAUAUAAGCCUAUAAUUAUAGGAUGAAACAAGUUGGCAUUCAUGCCUUGGUGAGGACUACUAAAAAAACUUUGAGUGAUCUAGAGCGCUAAAUGAGGAGUAGGAUUGAACUAUGUGACUUAUUUUAAAAAGUGUCAUAAAAACUCUAAGUACCAAGAAUAUGAAAUUGGAAUUUGAUCUUGUUCUGAGAGUUGUUCCUUUUCUCAACCUCUGAAGGAUAUAUGCUAGACACUUACACAAAAACCCAUUUGGAUGAACUAUGUUCGAACUAGCAUUUUAUGCUCACUACUAUCUUAAGUUAGAAACCAUUGAUCACUCAUUUUUAACCUUUAC